rnacentral:rRNA from 1 species
GACGAACGCUGGCGGCGUGCUUAACACACGCAAGUCGAACGGAAAGGCCUCUUCGGAGGUACUCGAGUGGCGAACGGGUGAGUAACACGUGGGUGAUCUGCCCUGCACUCUGGGAUAAGCCUGGGAAACUGGGUCUAAUACCGGAUAGGACCAUGCUUUAGUGUGUGUGGUGGAAAGUUUUUUCGGUGUAGGAUGAGCCCGCGGCCUAUCAGCUUGUUGGUGGGGUAAUGGCCUACCAAGGCGGCGACGGGUAGCCGGACUGAGAGGUUGGUCGGCCACAUUGGGACUGAGACACGGCCCAGACUCCUACGGGAGGCAGCAGUAGGGAAUCUUCCACAAUGGGUGCAAACCUGAUGGAGCAAUGCCGCGUGAGUGAAGAAGGUCUUCGGAUCGUAAAGCUCUGUUGUUAGAGAAGAACACGUGCUAGGUAACUACUAGCGCCUUGACGGUAUCUAACCAGAAAGUCACGGCUAACUACGUGCCAGCAGCCGCGGUAAUACGUAGGUGACAAGCGUUGUCCGGAUUUAUUGGGCGUAAAGGGAGCGCAGGCGGUCUGUUUAGUCUAAUGUGAAAGCCCACGGCUUAACCGUGGAACGGCAUUGGAAACUGACAGACUUGAAUGUAGAAGAGGAAAAUGGAAUUCCAAGUGUAGCGGUGGAAUGCGUAGAUAUUUGGAGGAACACCAGUGGCGAAGGCGAUUUUCUGGUCUAACAUUGACGCUGAGGCUCGAAAGCGUGGGGAGCGAACAGGAUUAGAUACCCUGGUAGUCCACGCCGUAAACGAUGAGUGCUAAGUGUUGGGGGCUUUCCGGCCCUCGGUGCUGGAGCUAACGUAUUAAGCACUCCGCCUGGGGAUUACGACCGCAAGGUUGAAACUCAAAAGAAUUGACGGGGACCCGCACAAGCGGUGGAGCAUGUGGUUUAAUUCGAAGCAACGCGAAGAACCUUACCAGCUCUUGACAUCUUCUGACAACUCUAGAGAUAGAGCGUUCCCUUCGGGGACAGAAUGACAGGUGGUGCAUGGUUGUCGUCAGCUCGUGUCGUGAGAUGUUGGGUUAAGUCCCGUAACGAGCGCAACCCUUGUUGUUAGUUGCCAGCAUUAAGUUGGGCACUUUAACGAGACUGCCGGUGAUAAACCGGAGGAAGGCGGGGAUGACGUCAAAUCAUCAUGCCCCUUAUGAGCUGGGCUACACACGUGCUACAAUGGAUGGUACAACGAGCAGCGAUCCCGCAAGGGCUAGCUAAUCUUUCAAAGCCAUUCUCAGUUCGGAUUGCACUCUGCAACUCGAGUGCAUGAAGUCGGAAUCGCUAGUAAUCGCGAAUCAGAAUGUCGCGGUGAAUCCGUUCCCGGGUCU